rnacentral:rRNA from 1 species
UACGAGGGGUGCAAGCGUUGCUCGGCAUUAUUGGGCGUAAAGGGUAGGUAGGUGGUCUCAUUUGUCUGGGGUGAAAGCCUCGAGCUUAACUCGAGAAGUGCCCUAGAAACGGUGAGACUGGAGUCCUGGAGAGGGUCGUGGAAUUCCCGGUGUAGCGGUGAAAUGCGUAGAGAUCGGAAGGAACACCAGAGGCGAAGGCGGCGACCUGGACAGGUACUGACACUCAACUACGAAAGCGUGGGGAGCAAACAGG